CUCUCUCUCUCUCUCUCUCUCUCUGUUUUAACUUUGGAGGGAGAGUUUCUGUUGACAUGGCCGGAUACGUGAAAUCCGGGGUACUUUUACCCAUCCGGGACCCAAUGCACAAAAUUACCCGUUUCCUUAUAUGGGACCCAUCUCCUCAAAUGGGGGGCCCCACAAAUGGCGAUAUUUGACUAGUGUGCCUUUAAAUACACACAGGCUGUUUGUUUAUUGUUUAGAUUGCUUGGUUGCUCACCUCCCCAGAAUCCACAAACGAAUGUUAGGCUUCGGUUGUUUGUAGGGUUUGGUGGUGAUGGCGGUCUCGAUGAAUUUUAGCCUCGGUCCUUGUGCCUGUUUGGUCAGUUAAGAGUCAGGCUGGCCUCAGAAUUCAAAAAACUGCCAUUAAAGCAUGGCUUCUUUUGUUUGUAUAUAUCAAGUGACGAAAUCAGUCUGAACUUUGACGAGAUAGAAAAAGAUAACAUUUUUGUGCUUAUAUAGUAAUUUAAUCAGAUAAUGCAGGAGUUUUUUGAGUUGAUGAAGGGUUAGGCAAAGAAACCAGAAGUGGACAGUGUUUGCUUGCGCAAAUCUACCUAAAUCUGGGGCAAGCAAGGUGAAAAGAGGGUUUGAGGCAGACAAAGCAAUGCCCCCCAUUCAAACCGUACUACACACAACCCCCAUUAAUUCCCUCAUAUAUUGCCCACUUUUAAUUGGCAUCAUUAUUAUUUGUCUGGACAGACAGUCACAUAGUCACUGCUAGGGUGGGACAGAGAAGACACGCACGCAAAGGCCAAAAACAACGCCUAAAAAUGUUCUCGGCAGCUUACAACACACACUACUUAAACAUGUUUAUUCUUUGCUUUGCUUUCUUAUGAUGGGACAAGGGAAGGGAACACCGUCAAGGGUUGCUUCUCAAGGAAAACAAAAGAAAGUAGGAGGUAAAACGGCUGGCUCACGAAGAAGGAAGAAAAAACCCACCUUUUACCUCAUUAUUUAUCUGCCAUCUUCUAAUGCUAGAGUCGUGGAGGGGGUGGCAGCAGGAGCGAAGCAUGGAGAGGCUUGCAACUUGGAAGAGUGAAUCAUGUUUUAUCUCUCUCAUCAGAAAGUUUCUGGAGAAAACGGGUUCCUUGGGCUUAUAUUUUGGUUUCUCCGGUCAUAGAAGAAAUCCCAUGUCCCAAGUUCAAUCUUCGCAACUAGUUCUGUUCUUCCUGAUCCUCUUCUGCUUCUUUCCAUAUUGAUGAUGGUUUUGGCGGUUGUGAUAUUGGCGGGACGGCUCAAUCUCUUAAUUUCUUUUUACGGUUUUUUAGUGUCCCUUUUCACUUACUCUUUUAUCAAUGAUCGAUGUUAUUCAUAUCGAAAUUUAAUGAAGAAGUUGUUCGUUCUGAUGGCA